CAUUUCUGACCAUCUCCGCUUGCCUGGGCCACUGGGGCUCUUCGGAAACCUGGGUGGCCACGCUGGUUGCCAGGAGUCUAACCCGGCUGCUGCUUUGGUUCUGGGCCUCAGAAAUCUACCGACAGCAGCAGCCGGGGAUACCCGAGCCAGCACAGGUCAUCUACGGCUGGUGCUGCGCGAUUGCGGCCUACGGCGAUCCGGUGGCGUCCACUGCGCUCGCCUCCUUGCCUACAUAUGGCCCUUAUGAGUACUCGGAGGCCCAUGCGUUGCUGGCGGCUGUGGUCAUGGUGGCUACGCUGUGCAUACUUUCAGCAGCGACCUACCUCAAGGUCAUGGCACCCAACAACAAUGAGACCUGCGUGAGGAAUUUGACCUGAUUGGCAAGCGAAAUUGAAAACGUGAGCGAGCGCAGGUCAGUUAGUCCGGAGUGUGUUUUCUACUUGGAUGGAACAUUUUCUUUGUUCCGUCUCAUUCUCAGACGACGCCAACCUUCCCAACGCUCUCCGCCUGCAUGGGACACUGGGGCUCCUGGCAAGCCUGGGUGGCCACGCUGGCUGCCAGGGGGCUAACCAGGCUGCUGCUGUACUUCUGGGCAUCAGAAAUAUUCUCUUCAGUCAUGAAUUACGAUCAACUGUCGAUAAAUGCGUGAAAUGUACAUACUUUUAUGCCAAGAUGCUGGAGACUCCAAAAAAACCAAGUCAAGGUGGGAUGAGAAUGAGACUGUGCAUUUUAGAUAGACCCAUCAUAAUUACACAGUAAUUAAAUAUUGAUAUAUUGCACACUCAGCCAUGCUACGUUUCUUCAUGAAAAAUAUUGAAUCACUCAAUCGAAUUGCAUGCGCAGGUUAAUUAUUGGGUGCCAGCAUUACAAAAAAGGGAACAAUAUUUUGCAAUAACUAUCGAAAUGUCCCACUCCAAACGUCCCAUCAAAGACGAUGUUGCCUUCACUAAAGCGGUCAUCUGAAGCGGCACAUUCCACUCAGAAGUGAAAUGGGGGCACUUUAGGAAAGCAGAAUGUUCAAUUUGCUGAAAGUUUAAUGUUUGUUGUCUAUUCCUUGCAACCACUGCACAGUAAUGGCGAAAAUAAGUCGCGUCCACAAAUGUAUACGCCGUGACUGAAGGGGAUAUACAGAGAGCAGCAGCCGGGGACGGCCCAGACAGCCGAGACCACCUACGGCUGGUGCUGCAGGAUUGUGGCUUACGCCGAUCCAGUGGCGUCUACUGCACUCGCCUCCUUGCCCGUAUUCGGCCCAUAUGAGUGUGCGGAGGCCCAUGCUGUGCUGGCUGCGGUCGUCAUGGUGGUGACGCUGUGCGUCCUUGCAGCAGCUACGUACCUGAAGGUCAUGGUGGAGAAUGACGAUGGGAUCUGGACCACCACGGCACUGAAGGCGCAAUGCGGUCUGUAUGGCGUGGCCUGCGUUGUGGGCUUAGCCACGGGGGCCAUCAAGGAUACCCUCCCACCUGAUUGGCAGCUGUUUGGUCAAGCUGUUUUCGUCUACAUGGAGCAAGCCCUCACGGUUUUGGAAUUGUUGCAGUGUUUAAUCUUCA